rnacentral:misc_RNA from 1 species
AAAUUCUGGGACAGGAUCUUCAAAAUCAUAAACAAACAUAAUGGUAGAAGUCUCUGUGUAAGUUAAACACGAACAUUACUAACAAUACAACCUUCCAGACUAAGUAAAUUGUCAUGUAUGAUAAGAGAGAAUUGAUAAUUGUGUGCACAUAUGAUCCACUGAGCACCAAUGACAGCUCUCGAUCACAAUGCUCCAGAAUUUUUAAGCUUCUCAGAUGGAGUGGAUGAGCCCAAUUUGAAUUUAUCUCUGUGCUCCUGGCAAUAAGCUUGCUAGGGAGGGAACCCCUUGUUGCCUC